GGAAGUAAAAGUCGUAAACAAGGUCUCCGUUGGUGAACCAGCGGAGGGAUCAUUACAGAGUUGCAAAACUCCCAAACCAUUGUGAACGUUACCUAUCCCGUUGCUUCGGCGGGCGGCCCGGGCCCCGCGCCCGGCGCCCCCCGGCCCCCCGUGGGCGCCCGCCGGAGGUAAACCAAACCCUUGAAUUGCAUGGCCUCUCUGAGUCUUCUGUACUGAAUAAGUCAAAACUUUCAACAACGGAUCUCUUGGUUCUG
rnacentral:misc_RNA from 1 species